rnacentral:rRNA from 1 species
GUGGGGAAUAUUGGACAAUGGGGGGAACCCUGAUCCAGCCAUGCCGCGUGUGUGAAGAAGGCCUUUUGGUUGUAAAGCACUUUAAGCGAGGAGGAGGCUACCGAGAUUAAUACUCUUGGAUAGUGGACGUUACUCGCAGAAUAAGCACCGGCUAACUCUGUGCCAGCAGCCGCGGUAAUACAGAGGGUGCGAGCGUUAAUCGGAUUUACUGGGCGUAAAGCGUGCGAAGGCGGCUUUUUAAGUCGGAUGUGAAAUCCCCGAGCUUAACUUGGGAAUUGCAUUCGAUACUGGGAAGCUAGAGUAUGGGAGAGGAUGGUAGAAUUCCAGGUGUAGCGGUGAAAUGCGUAGAGAUCUGGAGGAAUACCGAUGGCGAAGGCAGCCAUCUGGCCUAAUACUGACGCUGAGGUACGAAAGCAUGGGGAGCAAACAGGAUUAGAUACCCUAGUAGUCC